rnacentral:lncRNA from 1 species
CAUGGCUUUGAACAAAACCUUGGAAAAUACCCAAGGCUGCUUAUAGAUAUGGGCAUACAAAGGUUUCAAUGAAAAACACCAAAAGGUUAUUAUUAAUAAUGCCAAACGAUUUUUUCAUUUUUGCAUCACCAAACAUUGUUUUACCUAUAUUUAGACCACUCUUGUUUUGCCUUUCAAGGAUUUUGCUUCACAUCCGGAAAAACAAAACACCAUCAAGAAUAGAACUCUCUUUCGUAACCAAAAACCGCAUAAUACUAUAAUAAGCACAACACGGUAUCAAACAAAACCGAACGUUUGCGAACGUCAAGCAAUAACAACCACACUUCUAUGGCAAUAUGGAUCACAAUCUUAACAAAAGACACAUUUAUAUAAUCUAAACCAAAAAGGUUCGCGAACAUCAAGCAAUAACAACCACAUUUCCAUGGCAAUAUUGAUCACAAUCUUAACAAAAAACACAUUUAUACGAUCUAAAGCAUAAACCAAGAAACUAUAUUUACAUAUAAGUGUGGAAACAACAACUUUCUAAAGGUACUUUAAAACCCG